rnacentral:misc_RNA from 1 species
GAUGAAGAACGUAGCAAAAUGCGAUACUUGGUGUGAAUUGCAGAAUCCCGUGAACCAUCGAGUUUUUGAACGCAAGUUGCGCCCGAAGCCUUUUGGCCGAGGGCACGUCUGCCUGGGCGUCACGCAUCGCGUCGCCCCCCACAACUCUCCGUAAAGGGAACUUGUGUUUUGGGGGCGGAUAUUGGUCUCCCGUGCUCAUGGCGUGGUUGGCCGAAAUAGGAGUCCCUCCGGUGGACGCACGAACUAGUGGUGGUCGUAAAAACCCUCGUCUUUUGUUUCGUGCCGUUAGUCGCGAGGGAAACUCUUUAAAAACCCAAAUGUGUCAUCUCUUGACGGCGCUUCGACCGCGACCCCAGGUCAGGCGGGACUACCCGCUGAGUUUAAGCAUAUCAAUAAGCGGAGGA